rnacentral:rRNA from 1 species
UGGUGGGGUGAUGGCCUACCAAGGCGACGACGGGUAGCCGGCCUGAGAGGGCGACCGGCCACACUGGGACUGAGACACGGCCCAGACUCAUACGGGAGGCAGCAGUGGGGAAUAUUGCACAAUGGGCGAAAGCCUGAUGCAGCGACGCCGCGUGAGGGAUGACGGCCUUCGGGUUGUAAACCUCUUUCAGCAGGGAAGAAGCGCAAGUGACGGUACCUGCAGAAGAAGCGCCGGCUAACUACGUGCCAGCAGCCGCGGUAAUACGUAGGGCGCAAGCGUUGUCCGGAAUUAUUGGGCGUAAAGAGCUCGUAGGCGGCUUGUUGCGUCGGAUGUGAAAGCCCGGGGCUUAACCCCGGGUCUGCAUUCGAUACGGGCAGGCUAGAGUUCGGUAGGGGAGAUCGGAAUUCCUGGUGUAGCGGUGAAAUGCGCAGAUAUCAGGAGGAACACCGGUGGCGAAGGCGGAUCUCUGGGCCGAUACUGACGCUGAGGAGCGAAAGCGUGGGGAGCGAACAGGAUUAGAUACCCUGGUAGUCCACGCCGUAAACGUUGGGAACUAGGUGUGGGCGACAUUCCACGUCGUCCGUGCCGCAGCUAACGCAUUAAGUUCCCCGCCUGGGGAGUACGGCCGCAAGGCUAAAACUCAAAGGAAUUGACGGGGGCCCGCACAAGCAGCGGAGCAUGUGGCUUAAUUCGACGCAACGCGAAGAACCUUACCAAGGCUUGACAUACACCGGAAACGGCCAGAGAUGGUCGCCCCCUUGUGGUCGGUGUACAGGUGGU